UAUAUAUAUAUAUAUAUACAUAUACACGUGUGUGUGUGUGUGUGUGUGUGAGCAUGGUGAGCUGAGGAUAGAUAGGGUAAGAUUUUUCCAAAUGCCAACACAACUGCCAGACUGGAUGAAUCACUUAAUAACUGACAGACAACAUGCAGCAAACAGGAAUGAACAAUGAAAUUACCAUUAAGAGAUUUUGGUGCCUGUAUGCAUUGUCUGAUUACCAUUUGAUAAGUAUUUCUGAUAAAAGAAUUGUGCAUAACUAAGCCUGGCAGCCAGGAUAUAGUGCACUGUUUGCGUUCACAAGUUUGUAUUGCAGAAUGCUACAGAAGCUUAGCUUAACUAAAUAUUAAUGUAUGUAGAGUUUCAUGCAGUAAACCUCAGUAGUCAUCUUAAUUUUGCCAUUCAGCUCUCCAGUGUCAUAUAUACAGUGUUUCUGUUAAAGCAAAUAAUUAAGAAAAAAUGAAAACUUAAGCAUAGUAAAUGAUAGUUACUCUUUAACAACUGAGUCAUUGUGAAAUAAUUUAUUUUCACAAAGGAAAGUGACAUUUCAGAUCUGUCUUGAAUGCUUACAAAUGCAGUUAUAAAUAGAUUCUUCUGUCAGCUCGUGCAAGUAUGUCUGCUGUCAGCACCCUCUUUCUUCUGUAAACUCAUUGUGGACGAUUAAUUCAAUCCUCACUUGCAUUUACUUACAGUGGUAACCAGAAUUCAUGCCAGUUAUCAAGGGACAGUUAAGCCACAAGCAUGGUUGUUUGUAGGCCUUUCUCUCCCUCUCAUUUUAAAGAAGGUCAGUAUAAUAAUUUUCAUUCUGGUGAGUCUGAUGUGUCUUUUUAUGAAGUACAGUCAAGGUCCACAUGAUACUUACCUCAUUUAAUAAAACCUCAGACUUUUUCAAAGAACGCCUUUUACUCAGGUAGCCUAGUAACUUAAGAUCUAAAUAUCUUCUACUUGCCUUAUAGACAAAACAGUAGGGCUUACAAAAAUCAGAAGCAGAUUGUAAAAGUCAGGAUUUUCAGGCAAACCAGAAACACUUUGAUGUUCAUUUUAGUAAUUUGGUACCUAACAUAAGUAUUUUCCAAAAAUGAUUCCUUACUUUACUAUUCAGCAGCAGUAAUUCAGUUUUGAAAAAGUCCAAGACAUCUAUGAAAGAAAAAUCAAAGCCACUUCUGAGAAAGACAGACAGAAGGACAAUGUGUGCAAUUGUGCUUAUGUUUGUGUGUGUGUGUGUGUGUGUGUGUGUGUGUGUGUGUGUGUGUGUGUGUGUGUGUGUGUGUGUGUGUACUGGGGUAUGCUGGGAGUAAGAGAAGGUAUAACAGAUCACUGGAAUAAAGAAAGCAAAACAAAACAGAUAAGACACAUUAAUGAAGGUGUGUGUGUGUGUGUGUGUGUGUGUGUGUGUGUGUGUGUGUGUGUGUGUGUGUGUGUGUUUGUCCGGUGGAGUAUGCUGGGAGUAAAAGAAGGUAUAAUAGAUCACUGGAAUAAAGAAAGCAAAACAAAACAGAUAAGACACAUUAAUGAAGCUGUGUGUGUGUGUGUGUGUGUGUGUGUGUGUGUGUGUGUGUGUGUGUGUGUGUGUGUGUGUGUGUGUGUGUGUGUGUGUCCGGUGGAGUAUGUUGGGAGUAAAAGAAGGUAUAAUAGAUCACUGAAAUAAAGAAAGCAAAACAAAAGAGAUAAGACACAUUAAUGAAGCUGUGUGUGUGUGUGUGUGUGUGUGUGUGUGUGUGUGUGUGUGUGUGCGUUUGGUGGGGUAUGCAGGGAGUAAGAGAAGGUAUAAUAGAUCACUGCAAUAAAGAAAGCAAAACAAAACAGAUAAGACACAUUAAUGAAGCUGUGUUUUUGUGUGUGUGUGUGUGUGUGUGUGUGUGUGUGUGUGUGUGUGUGUGUGUGUGUGUGUGUGUGUGUGUGUGUGUGUGUAUGCGUGUGUGUAGGGGGUAUGCUGGAAGUAAGAGAAGGUAUAAUAGAUCACUGGAAUAAAGAAAGCAAAACAAAACAGAUAAGACACAUUAAUGAAGGUGUGUGUGUGCAUUUGUAAGAAUGACAGACUUGCACUGAUACCCUGAUAUGGCCGAGCAGUGUGAAUGACAGCAUGAAAAUUAGAGACAAAUAGCAGAGGAGCACAUAAACAAGAGUUAGGUGAGUAUAAGUAUACUUUAGAAUAUUUUUGACUGAAACUGAAUAAUUGUCUGUAGCCCUAUCUGCAUUGCUUUCUUGAUGGAGUGUCCAUGGAGUGUCGUUGUUACUAGCUUGUGACUAGAAGUGGUUCUGCAUAAAGGAAACUUAAUUUGGAAACAUUUCUGGACACAUAUUGCCAGCUCUUUCAUACACAGGAAUAAAGAUGUCACUGGUGACUAUGACCCAGUUAGUGUUUUUGAAGCAGAAAGGGACAAGAAGGGAAAGUGGCGUUCUCCAUGCUGGCACACUCAACCUGGUGGGAGAAAGGCAGUCUGGUCUGCUUCAGUGUUAUCAACUGCUGGAGGUUGUGUUCACAACACAGAAUAUGGGCUGGGGAUAUGUGCCUGGCACUGCUAAGCUGUGUUUACACAUCUGUGAAAGAAUGCGCACACUCUUCAAGGCAGGCAUAGUGGGCCUUCACUUUGAGGGAACACAAUGCAGCCACUAGGUGGUGAGGUUAACAUUAUAAUCAUCUGGAUGAUGGGUACUCCACAAUCAGAUCUCACCAAACUAAGGAAUUAAUGUACAUGAUCAGUUGUGGUGGGGUCACAUAGUCACCAGGCACGUGGGACGGAAAAGGGCAACCAUAAAUAAUUCUGGGAACAGAUUUCAUAGUAAGCAAGUCCUAAAUCUACACUGUGAAGAUUAUGUAUUUAGUAUACACAUCUGACAUUUCAUUUUCAAAUCUAAUGAAAGAGAUUUCCCUAAACCCAAAGCAACCCAGUUCAGGACAAAUGUUCCUCCUCCAAAUUUUUUGAUCCAGCAGUGCCAAACACCUGAUUUAAUGUGGUCAUUCUGUGGUCUGUAAUUCAUUCAUCUGUAGGAAUUUCUGUGGUCUGUCAGAAAUAUAUUUGAGAACAUCUACCAGUGUAAUAAAAUGUGCAUCUACUGAACAAAGCAUGUCACAGCAGCAUGCUAAAUUCCCAUAUGAGGUGUCCUAGUAAGCCAUGAACAUACUGCAGUGAAAGUUCAAACAAGUAACCUGAAGAUGGUAAAUGGAUAUUUAUCCAAAAACAUUCCUUUAUGAAGGGGCAAGCUCUCCACAUUCCCACACAUUCUACAGCUUGUUUUAUAGAAAAGGUAACUACUUGAUGCUUUUUUUAAUUAAAAAACAUUUCCCCUUUUCCAUCAGCAUUUCUGAGAUAUUGUUGUAUGAAUUUCUCUGAUUCAAGCAUUUCUGUUCGAGACAAACAAGUAGCUUACUUCACAAGCCAGACUUUUACUUAAAGUCAUGUAAGGUCCAAAUUUAAGAUUUGGUUCAACUAACCUGUGGCAGACAGGUAAUGAGAUACAUUCAUAGAUUCAUGGGUAGUUAUUAGGCAUGCAGACCAGGAAAGCACUGAUAGGUCUAGUCCAAUUUCCCAAAUGUCUCGCGGCACUGUCUGGUUAAGUACGUUGCUCAGAGUCACAUGGUAGGCCCAUGGAAACUGAUGGAAUCAAGCCCAGAACUGCAAGCAGCAGCUCGUUAGCAGCCAUAACCUUAAUACUCUACAUUCUCUGCAUUUACUGAACUGCUUAAUCAAAGGCAUGGUAUCUAUUCUCUUUACCAGCUUUAAAAAGGACACAGCCAAUUUGUUAUUUUUCCUUACUAUACAAGAUAAAGACGUUAAUACAAUUUUAAACUCUUAAGAUUUUCAAAGAGGCCAGACAGGGGCAUCCAGAAAUACCAAAUAUAGUCUGCCACAAAUACACUUAUCACUAAUUACUAAUUGAUAUUUUGUGAAAUUAGCAUUUUAUGUAAGCUGCAAGCCCCCCACUCCCAUGAGGUCAUUAUACUUCCACUGUCCCAGCUACUUAUUAAAAUCACACCAAAAGCCACCUUUACUCAGGUAAAAUGGACAUGCUUGUUUUCUGUGAAAAAAUGCAUUUUUUUUUCUUUUUUUCUGGUAAAUCAAGAAAAAUCCAUUUUUGAAAUACAGUGUUUAAACUGCAGAAGGAGGGACAUCUGCUAGUUAGCCCUUACCUUUGAAUUUAGAGGUACACUUUCAGUCUUUUGAUUUUUAGAUUGCAGAUAUCAUGUUAAUAAGUAUGAGUUGUUGAAGACCUCCCAGUCUGGCAAGGUAACAUUAUCUGUCGACAUUGCCUUAUGCUGAAUCAUAAUCAUUGUGACUUCACUGACUGUUACAGAACUUUUGUUUGUAAGAAGCUGUGGAGUGACUUCCUCCUUAUUUACCUGCACCAUUGGUGACUGAAUAUGAUACAAAAGAGCUAUGAUGUCAUGCAUCCAUCAGGUUACAGCGCCUCUACGCUGCUGACAUAACAUUAUCAUAAUGAGUGACUUUAUGAUAUGCAAAAGACUAAAAAUCAAAAUACUUUGGAAAUAACAACAAAAUUUGAUAAGUAACCUAAAAUGCUUAUUUUCAUAUCUUUGGGUGAUCUUUAAGACACAUAUUAAAAAGUGUAUGUUAUUGCACUGCCUUUGUCGUAAUAGCAGUCUUUUAUAUAUAUAUAUAUAUAUAUAUAUAUAUACAUGUAUCUAAUUUGUGAAUAUUUGUGGUUUAAUAGAUGUUUGGAAAUGAAGAAUAAAAAGGGUUUUGAUUUUUAGAGUUGUAAAACUGAUUCAAUUCAAAACAAGAAAUGGUACAACUGUUAAGAUAUAAUAAAAUUAAUAGAAAUUACCAAGUAGCUAAUGGCUAAAGCAUUCUUAUAUAAUAUGAUGAAAUUGUUUCACUGCCUUCAGGUGCAAGAGAGUGCCAAACAAUGUCUAUGUCAGUAAUCUGAAACAGCAGCUUUUUGUUAAAAUAUGCUAAGCAGUAUUGCCAAAAAGUUGUUUAUCCAUCCACAAGUGUACUGCUGUACAUAUGUAAGUCACACCAUCCCCCAUGUAUUUAUUUAGCAAACCAUCCAUUUUCUGAACAUAACGUGUUUUCUUUUUAUAUUUAUAUGUGAAUUUAGUAUCUGAUAUGAAAUAAUACAUUUUAUAUGGAAAAUGCAGUAAAUAAAAAAUGGCUGUUACAGCAAUUGAUUUUUGGAAGUUAAAGGACUGCUCUAGAAAAAUAAAUAAAUAAAAUUAGGCUUGUGCAAUCAAA